rnacentral:ncRNA from 2 species
GGUUGAAGGACACUUCAAGAAUUCGGACUACUUUUGGGUUGGGUAGUC